AGUAAGAUUUUUCUAGGGUUUUAGUCUAGAAACACUUGCUUUCUUCUUACAGAAAUCCGAAAUUAUCAAUCAAGCCUCCUCCAGUUCUCCGCCUCUGUUCUCCUCCCCUCCUCUCUAGAAAAUUUGCAGAUAAUGUCAUCUCCUACAACAACCCCUUCUUCCUCUGAAUCGGAAAUUCCUAAACCACUAAACUCAUCAAGAGUUACCCCUGAAACCAUCGGAAGAGCAGUAGUAGCUCUUAAAAAAUGGAACAAAACGAGAUCGAAAGAUGAAAAACCCCAACUUAUAGAACAAGAUGAGUUCUUAUAUCUAGUCUUAACCCUAAAGAAAAUCCCAUCUAAUGGCCGUACUAAUCCAUACAAAAUCCCUCUAUCUCAUUCACUUCAUCCAUCUGACUCUUCUGAAGAACACUGUUUAAUCAUUGAUGACCGUUCUAAAUCAACUCUUACUUCUGAAGCUGCAAAGAUGAAAAUCAAAGAUGAAGAUAUACCUAUCUCUAAAGUACUCAAGCUUUCCAAACUCAAAACGGAUUAUCGUGCAUUUGAAGCCAAAAGGAAACUUUGUGAUUCUUAUGAUUUCUUUUUUGCAGAUAAAAGGGUUAUUCCAUUGCUUCCAAAGCUAUUAGGUAAGCAGUUCUAUAAGAAGAAGAAAAUUCCUGUUCCUGUUGAUUUAACACAUCAGAAUUGGAAAGAACAGAUUAAAAUUUCAUGUAGUUCAGCUCUUUUCUACUUGAGAACUGGUACAUGUAGUGUUAUUAAAAUAGCUCGGGUUUCCAUGGAAAAUGACGAAAUUAUUGAAAAUGUUGCCGCUGCAAUUGAUGGGGUUGUAGAGAUAGUUCCUAAGAAAUGGACACAUGUUCGUUCGUUUCAUUUGAAAAUGUCUGAAUCUUUAGCAUUACCUAUUUAUCAGUCUGUUCCUGAUCUGGGUUUGAAAAUUGAGGGUCUAAAGAAGGUUGAGGAAUCUAAAGAAGUGGAAUUGGUGGAGGAAGGUGAAGAAGAAGAGGAGAAAGAAAAGAAGACACCUGCGAAGAAGAAAGGAUCUAAUAAGGGAAGAAUUCAUGAAGUUAGGUAUAUGGAUGACGAUAGUGGUGAAGCUUUGGAUAAUUUAUCUGAUGAGAAGGAGAAUGAAAAUGCUGAGUUGGGUGAUAAAUUGGUGGGUAAGAAGAGAAAGAAAGUUCUUGACGAGGAGAAGAAAUCGAACAAGUCAUCUAAGGUGAAGAAGGUUGCAAUUGUGAAGCAGGAUGAUGGAGAUGUCGAGAACGAAGUUGUUGAUGAUGUCUCUCUUUCUGGUGAAUCGAAGAAGAAGAAGAAGAAGAAGAAAACUAGUAAAACUGAGAAGUCUGAGAGUGGGGAAUUGAAGAUGAAGGAUAAGAAGAGUAAGAGAACAGCAAAAGCUUGAGACUUGCCUGGUUUUGUUUAGAUGAGAUUUGAGAUGAUCCUGCUGCCAUCUUGACUUCUUUAAAACCAACUGUGGUACAUUAACGAUUGGAUUAUCCAACUGCCGUGACUUCAUUUUAAUUCAUUCGCAGCAGAAUCUGAAGUUUGGUCUGAAUCUGGUUUUUGGGGUCCAGAAAGCAAAGAUGUCUCAAAGAUCUUGAAGCCGGUGCAUUCCUCAUAGAGUUGCAGCUUAAACGACCUUAUUCUUCUUGAGGAAGUGAUUAAAAUAAAUGGGAGGUAAUUUUCAAUUUCAAGGUUCUGUCUGUAUGUCGCCCUUACUGACACUAAGUGUCUCUCUGGUCGUUAAGUUUUAGAUUCUUGCAGCAUAUUACCUUAUCUCGAUGAAGAACUCUUUCACUGGCAAAGUACAGAUCUUUUCUUCAUCCUGGUUAGUUAAACUCGAAAUCUGGUUAGUCUUCACUUAUGUGUAUGUCCAUGCCUAACAAGUACUAGAUCACAAGUAGCAAUCUUGUUGCUUAAUUAGGUUAAAGAUCAGUUUUGAAGUGGAACUUGAUCACAAGUCGAUUAAUAUUUGUUACGUUUUGUGUAUACUUCUUGUAUUUGAGUAGAGAUUUAAGUCCUCUCUUGAUCAGUUGCUUUCUCCUGUUAAUUUAUUACCCGAGGACUGCGGCCAUUGCCUGUCCCUUGUAGCCAAGUUGGUUUUCAAAUGGGAAUAGGGCUAGAGAAGCCCUGCUAUUUAGAGUCAGGAUUGAAAUUGGAACUUCAGCUUGAGUCUGAACAAUUGCAACAUUGAAAAAUAAUUUACGGAAGUGGUGCUAGCUAACUGAAGUCCAGUGUAACUUCUAUAUUUGGUGUUACUGAUCAAGGCGGAGAACAGCAUUGUUCAUUUAUAUGUACAG